rnacentral:rRNA from 1 species
GACGAACGCUGGCGGCGUGCCUAAUACAUGCAAGUAGAACGCUGAAGGAGGAGCUUGCUUCUCUGGAUGAGUUGCGAACGGGUGAGUAACGCGUAGGUAACCUGCCUGGUAGCGGGGGAUAACUAUUGGAAACGAUAGCUAAUACCGCAUAAGAGUAGAUGUUGCAUGACAUUUGCUUAAAAGGUGCAAUUGCAUCACUACCAGAUGGACCUGCGUUGUAUUAGCUAGUUGGUGAGGUAACGGCCCACCAAGGCAACGAUACAUAGCCGACCUGAGAGGGUGAUCGGCCACACUGGGACUGGGACACGGCCCAGACUCCUACGGGAGGCAGCAGUAGGGAAUCUUCGGCAAUGGACGGAAGUCUGACCGAGCAACGCCGCGUGAGUGAAGAAGGUUUUCGGAUCGUAAAGCUCUGUUGUAAGAGAAGAACGAGUGUGAGAGUGGAAAGUUCACACUGUGACGGUAUCUUACCAGAAAGGGACGGCUAACUACGUG